GAGCGAACAGAUGAGAAGCUUGCUUCUCUGAUGUUAGCGGCGGACGGGUGAGUAACACGUGGGUAACCUACCUAUAAGACUGGGAUAACUCCGGGAAACCGGGGCUAAUACCGGAUAAUAUUUUGAACCGCAUGGUUCAAUAGUGAAAGACGGUUUCGGCUGUCACUUAUAGAUGGACCCGCGCCGUAUUAGCUAGUUGGUAAGGUAACGGCUUACCAAGGCGACGAUACGUAGCCGACCUGAGAGGGUGAUCGGCCACACUGGAACUGAGACACGGUCCAGACUCCUACGGGAGGCAGCAGUAGGGAAUCUUCCGCAAUGGGCGAAAGCCUGACGGAGCAACGCCGCGUGAGUGAUGAAGGUCUUCGGAUCGUAAAACUCUGUUGUUAGGGAAGAACAAAUUUGUUAGUAACUGAACAAGUCUUGACGGUACCUAACCAGAAAGCCACGGCUAACUACGUGCCAGCAGCCGCGGUAAUACGUAGGUGGCAAGCGUUAUCCGGAAUUAUUGGGCGUAAAGCGCGCGUAGGCGGUUUCUUAAGUCUGAUGUGAAAGCCCACGGCUCAACCGUGGAGGGUCAUUGGAAACUGGGAAACUUGAGUGCAGAAGAGGAGAGUGGAAUUCCAUGUGUAGCGGUGAAAUGCGCAGAGAUAUGGAGGAACACCAGUGGCGAAGGCGGCUCUCUGGUCUGUAACUGACGCUGAUGUGCGAAAGCGUGGGGAUCAAACAGGAUUAGAUACCCUGGUAGUCCACGCCGUAAACGAUGAGUGCUAAGUGUUAGGGGGUUUCCGCCCCUUAGUGCUGCAGCUAACGCAUUAAGCACUCCGCCUGGGGAGUACGACCGCAAGGUUGAAACUCAAAGGAAUUGACGGGGACCCGCACAAGCGGUGGAGCAUGUGGUUUAAUUCGAAGCAACGCGAAGAACCUUACCAAAUCUUGACAUCCUUUGACCGCUCUAGAGAUAGAGUCUUCCCCUUCGGGGGACAAAGUGACAGGUGGUGCAUGGUUGUCGUCAGCUCGUGUCGUGAGAUGUUGGGUUAAGUCCCGCAACGAGCGCAACCCUUAAGCUUAGUUGCCAUCAUUAAGUUGGGCACUCUAGGUUGACUGCCGGUGACAAACCGGAGGAAGGUGGGGAUGACGUCAAAUCAUCAUGCCCCUUAUGAUUUGGGCUACACACGUGCUACAAUGGAUAAUACAAAGGGCAGCGAAUCCGCGAGGCCAAGCAAAUCCCAUAAAAUUAUUCUCAGUUCGGAUUGUAGUCUGCAACUCGACUACAUGAAGCUGGAAUCGCUAGUAAUCGUAGAUCAGCAUGCUACGGUGAAUACGUUCCCGGGUCUUGUACACACCGCCCGUCACACCACGAGAGUUUGUAACACCCGAAGCCGGUGGAGUAA
rnacentral:rRNA from 2 species